CUACAGAGGGUUUCACUGAGAAGAUAAGUUGUAAUGCAAGGAUGUAUUAACUUGGAAGUGGAAAAGUGGAAGGAGAAAAGCGAUGGCAAGGCGAUGGUUGGAAAUGGGAGAGUGCCAUGAUCUGUUGAGGAAAUGGCAAAGAAAAAAGCUCCAGUGGCCAGAGUAACACGUAAGUGUUACUUGUUGGUGGAAGGAAGGCUUGGUGGAAGGAAGGAUUGAUGGAGAGAUAAGGAUCUCAUGGGCUCCAGUAUUCUAGAGAAACAUCCUGAGAAAGUUGCCUAACAGAUAAUUCAGUGUGGAGGAAGCUAGCAUCCAGGUUAGAAGCCCAUGUGGUGAGGAACUGAGACCUCACUCACCAACAGCCAUACGAGUGAGCAAUCUGGAAGUGGUACCUUCAGCCCCAGUCGGGCCAUCAGAUGAAACUGCAGUGUCUGCUAGUACCCUAACUACAACCUUAUGAGCAUCUCUGAGCCAGCGCCACCCAGUUUCAGGUUUGUAAUAUAGUGACUCAACAGUUCUAUAAAUCAC